UUUUCAGAUGAAAUUCUCUCGCCGUUUAGGCCAAAUAGUUUAUGUUUUUCAAUUUCAUUUUCAGGUGAAAGUUUUUCUCGCCGUUUCUCUUCGCCAUAGCCAUUUCGUCGCCGUCUCUCUUCUCCAUUAAUCUCUGGGUUUACUGAUAAUUUGAAGAUCUCUUCAAUAUCUUCACAUGCUAAAGAUGCCUUCCGUGCAUUUGUUUCAGGAAACUUUACAGGAGAUGGACUCACAGAUUCUUUGCAAGGGUUUCCAAGCACUGAGGUCUAUCAGAUUUAAGGUAGCAUCACCCUUUGGACUUUUUCUCUAAUGUGAAAGACAAUCUUUUGUAAGUUGCCGGUGGAGAAGUUUCUCUACCAUUUUUGCAAGGUUAGUCAUCUAGUUUUCCAUUUUCUUCGUGAUUUGUAAUGUCAAGUAUCUCUGUGUCCUUGACUAACUACCCACAGGGCGGCUAAUUUUUCAGAAUUCAAUUGGGUCACUGGUAUGUUCUUAAUCUGAUCUAUUAAACAUGUGGUAUUGAAAUGAAUUGUCAUUAUACUUUUUGUCAUAUUUUUACCAUGAUUUCCAAAUUUAUUAUUUUUUUAUCAAUUGAUAAGAAGUUGAUCAUAACAAGGAUACUCUCUAUUGUAAAAUCAUAUGGUUCUUCUCAUGUAUGAUAGUAAAAAUGCAGUUUACACCAUAUCAUUAAUAGAGUUUGGAAUUCUCCGGGUCAUUAAAUAUUUUAUUGCAUGGCAGUAGACCACAAUGCCCUCUGGUUUUUUAUGUGGAAGGACAGUAUUGUCAUGUAGGAUUUUGAUGCAACCUGCAUCACUUGGCGACUUGGCGUGUUUAAUACAAAACACGGGUUUAGCUAUUUGUACCGUUGGAGUGGACAUAUUUCAGAGCUAAUGUGAUUUUUUGAUGAGUUCCCAUGUUAAGCAAGAUUGAGCUCCAAAACAGUGGAAGUGAUGCCUUUUCCACUGUUAUAGGUGAGAGGGUCCCGGUCGUGCACUUGUUUAUGGAAGAGGGGUUACGAGAAGCAAACAGAGAAGGAAGCAGUUCUUCAAUAAUUUUGAUGGAAUAUUUUCCGUUUUCUAGUUUUAGUGAAUAUUUUUUGUUUGUAAUGUAAUGGAUGAAAUAUUUUCGUGAUG